AAUAGAUACCCCGGUAGUCCACGCCGUAAACGAUGGAUGCUAGCUGGUUAUGAGUAUCGACCCUUGUAGUAGCGAAGCUAACGCGUUAAGCAUCCCGCCUGUGGAGUACGAGCGCAAGCUUAAAACAUAAAGGAAUUGACGGGGACCCGCACAAGCGGUGGAGCGUGUUGUUUAAUUCGAUGAUAAGCGAAGAACCUUACCAAGGCUUGACAUCCCUGGAAUUUCUCCGAAAGGAGAGAGUGCCUUCGGGAAUCAGGUGACAGGUGAUGCAUGGCCGUCGUCAGCUCGUGUCGUGAGAUGUUUGGUUAAGUCCAUCAACGAGCGCAACCCUUGUAAAUAGUUGAAUUUUUCUAUUUAGACUGCCUCGGUAACGGGGAGGAAGGAGGGGAUGAUGGUCAGGUCAGUAUUUCCUUUACGCCUUGGGCUACAAACACGCUACAAUGGCCGGUACAAAGGGCAGCCAACCCGCGAGGGGAGCAAAUCCCAUCAAAACCGGUCUCAGUUCGGAUAGCAGGCUGAAAUUCGCCUGCUUGAAGCCGGAAUCG
rnacentral:rRNA from 1 species